rnacentral:rRNA from 1 species
AUUGAACGCUGGCGGCAGGCCUAACACAUGCAAGUCGGGCGGUAACAGGGAUAGCUUGCUAUCUGGUGACGAGCGGCGGACGGGUGAGUAAUGCAUAGGAAUCUGCCUGGUAGUGGGGGAUAGCCCAGAGAAAUUUGGAUUAAUACCGCAUACGCCCUACGGGGGAAAGCUGGGGACCUUCGGGCCUAGCGCUAUCAGAUGAGCCUAUGUCGGAUUAGCUUGUUGGUGAGGUAACGGCUCACCAAGGCGACGAUCCGUAGCUGGUCUGAGAGGAGAUCAGCCACAC